rnacentral:rRNA from 1 species
AGAUUGAACGCUGGCGGCAGGCCUAACACAUGCAAGUCGAGCGGCAGCACGGGUACUUGUACCUGGUGGCGAGCGGCGGACGGGUGAGUAAUGCCUAGGAAUCUGCCUGAUAGUGGGGGAUAACGUUCGGAAACGGACGCUAAUACCGCAUACGUCCUACGGGAGAAAGUGGGGGAUCUUCGGACCUCACGCUACCAGAUGAGCCUAGGUCGGAUUAGCUAGUUGGUAGGUAAAGGCCUACCAAGGCUACGAUCCGUAACUGGUCUGAGAGGAUGAUCAGUCACACUGGAACUGAGACACGGUCCAGACUCCUACGGGAGGCAGCAGUGGGGAAUAUUGGACAAUGGGCGAAAGCCUGAUCCAGCCAUGCCGCGUGUGUGAAGAAGGUCUUCGGAUUGUAAAGCACUUUUUAGUUGGAGAAGGUUGUAACUUAAUACGUUGCAACUUUGACGUUACCGACAGAAUAAGCACCGGCUAACUCGUGCCAGCAGCCGCGGUAAU